rnacentral:antisense_RNA from 1 species
CUUCACCGAGCCCAGCAACAACGGCCGCUCGCGGUCCUGGCCGUAGGUCGCGAGCAACGCCUGGGCUUC